rnacentral:rRNA from 1 species
GACGAACGCUGGCGGCGUGCCUAAUCCAUGCAAGUCGAACGAACUCUGGUAUUGAUUGGUGCUUGCAUCAUGAUUUACAUUUGAGUGAGUGGCGAACUGGUGAGUAACACGUGGGAAACCUGCCCAGAAGCGGGGGAUAACACCUGGAAACAGAUGCUAAUACCGCAUAACAACUUGGACCGCAUGGUCCGAGCUUGAAAGAUGGCUUCGGCUAUCACUUUUGGAUGGUCCCGCGGCGUAUUAGCUAGAUGGUGGGGUAACGGCUCACCAUGGCAAUGAUACGUAGCCGACCUGAGAGGGUAAUCGGCCACAUUGGGACUGAGACACGGCCCAAACUCCUACGGGAGGCAGCAGUAGGGAAUCUUCCACAAUGGACGAAAGUCUGAUGGAGCAACGCCGCGUGAGUGAAGAAGGGUUUCGGCUCGUAAAACUCUGUUGUUAAAGAAGAACAUAUCUGAGAGUAACUGUUCAGGUAUUGACGGUAUUUAACCAGAAAGCCACGGCUAACUACGUGCCAGCAGCCGCGGUAAUACGUAGGUGGCAAGCGUUGUCCGGAUUUAUUGGGCGUAAAGCGAGCGCAGGCGGUUUUUUAAGUCUGAUGUGAAAGCCUUCGGCUCAACCGAAGAAGUGCAUCGGAAACUGGGAAACUUGAGUGCAGAAGAGGACAGUGGAACUCCAUGUGUAGCGGUGAAAUGCGUAGAUAUAUGGAAGAACACCAGUGGCGAAGGCGGCUGUCUGGUCUGUAACUGACGCUGAGGCUCGAAAGUAUGGGUAGCAAACAGGAUUAGAUACCCUGGUAGUCCAUACCGUAAACGAUGAAUGCUAAGUGUUGGAGGGUUUCCGCCCUUCAGUGCUGCAGCUAACGCAUUAAGCAUUCCGCCUGGGGAGUACGGCCGCAAGGCUGAAAUUCAAAGGAAUUGACGGGGGCCCGCACAAGCGGUGGAGCAUGUGGUUUAAUUCGAAGCUACGCGAAGAACCUUACCAGGUCUUGACAUACUAUGCAAAUCUAAGAGAUUAGACGUUCCCUUCGGGGACAUGGAUACAGGUGGUGCAUGGUUGUCGUCAGCUCGUGUCGUGAGAUGUUGGGUUAAGUCCCGCAACGAGCGCAACCCUUAUUAUCAGUUGCCAGCAUUAAGUUGGGCACUCUGGUGAGACUGCCGGUGACAAACCGGAGGAAGGUGGGGAUGACGUCAAAUCAUCAUGCCCCUUAUGACCUGGGCUACACACGUGCUACAAUGGAUGGUACAACGAGUUGCGAACUCGCGAGAGUAAGCUAAUCUCUUAAAGCCAUUCUCAGUUCGGAUUGUAGGCUGCAACUCGCCUACAUGAAGUCGGAAUCGCUAGUAAUCGCGGAUCAGCAUGCCGCGGUGAAUACGUUCCCGGGCCUUGUACACACCGCCCGUCACACCAUGAGAGUUUGUAACACCCAAAGUCGGUGGGGUAACCUUUUAGGAACUAGCCGCCUAAGGUGGGACAGAUGAUUAGGGUG